CGCUGACGACCGGCGCACGGGUGCGUAACGCGUAUACAAUCUACCUUUUACAGGGGCAUAGCCCGGGGAAACCCGGAUUAAUAUCCCAUGGUAUCAUUUAGUGGCAUCACUUGAAUGAUUAAAGUUUCGGCGGUAAAAGAUGAGUAUGCGUUCUAUUAGCUAGAUGGUAAGGUAACGGCUUACCAUGGCUACGAUAGAUAGGGGUCCUGAGAGGGAGAUCCCCCACACUGGUACUGAGACACGGACCAGACUCCUACGGGAGGCAGCAGUGAGGAAUAUUGGACAAUGGGCGAGAGCCUGAUCCAGCCAUGCCGCGUGCAGGAAGACUGCCCUAUGGGUUGUAAACUGCUUUUAUACGGGAAGAAACACUCCUUCGUGAAGGAGCUUGACGGUACCGUACGAAUAAGGAUCGGCUAACUCCGUGCCAGCAGCCGCGGUAAUACGGAGGAUCCAAGCGUUAUCCGGAAUCAUUGGGUUUAAAGGGUCCGUAGGCGGGAUAAUAAGUCAGUGGUGAAAGUCUGCAGCUCAACUGUAGAACUGCCAUUGAUACUGUUGUCCUUGAGUAAUUAUGAAGUGGUUAGAAUAUGUAGUGUAGCGGUGAAAUGCAUAGAUAUUACAUAGAAUACCGAUUGCGAAGGCAGAUCACUAAUAAUUUACUGACGCUGAUGGACGAAAGCGUAGGUAGCGAACAGGAUUAGAUACCCUGGUAGUCUACGCCGUAAACGAUGGUUACUAGCUGUUUGGCUCGAUU
rnacentral:rRNA from 1 species